GAUGAACGCUGGCGGCGUGCCUAAUACAUGCAAGUCGAGCGAACAGACGAGGAGCUUGCUCCUUUGACGUUAGCGGCGGACGGGUGAGUAACACGUGGGUAACCUACCUAUAAGACUGGGAUAACUUCGGGAAACCGGAGCUAAUACCGGAUAAUAUUUCGAACCGCAUGGUUCGAUAGUGAAAGAUGGCUUUGCUAUCACUUAUAGAUGGACCUGCGCCGUAUUAGCUAGUUGGUAAGGUAACGGCUUACCAAGGCAACGAUACGUGGCCGACCUGAGAGGGUGAUCGGCCACACUGGAACUGAGACACGGUCCAGACUCCUACGGGAGGCAGCAGUAGGGAAUCUUCCGCGAUGGGCGAAAGCCUGACGGAGCAACGCCGCGUGAGUGAUGAAGGUCUUCGGAUCGUAAAACUCUGUUAUUAGGGAAGAACAAACGUGUAAGUAACUGUGCACGUCUUGACGGUACCUAAUCAGAAAGCCACGGCUAACUACGUG
rnacentral:rRNA from 1 species